CUUGCCAGCAUUUCGGAUGGGAACUUUAAGGAUACUGCCAGUGACAAACUGGAGGAAGGCGGGGACGACGUCAAGUCAUCAUGGCCCUUACGGCCAGGGCUACACACGUGCUACAAUGGUCGGUACAAAGGGUUGCUACACAGCGAUGUGAUGCUAAUCUCAAAAAGCCGAUCGUAGUCCGGAUUGGAGUCUGCAACUCGACUCCAUGAAGUCGGAAUCGCUAGUAAUCGCGGAUCAGAAUGCCGCGGUGAAUACGUUCCCGGGCCUUGUACACACCGCCCGUCACACCAUGGGAGUUUGUUGCACCAGAAGUAGCUAGCCUAACUGCAAAGAGGGCGGUUACCACGGUGUGGCCGAUGACUGGGGUGAAGUCGUAACAAGGUAGCCGUAGGGGAACCUGCGGCUGGAUCACCUCCUUAA
rnacentral:rRNA from 1 species